rnacentral:misc_RNA from 1 species
GGAAAACAGUCUCUGGUAUUUCUAAUCAGAAGGAUUGGGAACAUUUAGGAUUUUAUUCGAUCAGAGUUCAGAAGAAAUCUCUCAAAGCGAAACUCUAAGAGUCAAGAUUAUCGCAACUUCAAUCUCCUGCAGAACAAAAUUUGCAAAUCCAAAUUCCUUCAACGAGAAACAUAAACACUUACUGAUCACUACGCAUGAAACAAAUAUUCGCUCGAGACCAACUUUUUUGAACCUAGUCAAAUUCUACAACCCAAUCUUUACCUCUUCAUGUUAGCAGGCACAAUCUGAAAAACUCCAGUGCUAAGAGGAUGGCCAUUUUUGUUUUCUUAUACAGGAAAUGAGUUUAGCCAUUAAGCCGAUACGACCUCCCUCUGAAAGCUCCACUCGUACUCCUAUCAUCAGGCAUUGCUGCACGCUGAGUUGGUGGAGCACCUAUCCUCCAUCUUGAGACUAACCUCUGUAUCCAAAAUGGUGUUCUCAAUAUGUUCUUUCCGCCUGCCAGUGGAUGCAACACGGUCAAAAAGUAGUACAAAUGCCCUGCUAAGAUUCCGAGUAAAU